UUUCGCAAUGCCCGAAAGGGUGACGAAGCGACGCCGCGUGCGGGAAGAAGGCCUUCGGGUUGUAAACCGCUGUCGGGAGUUAAGAAAUGUAAGGAUGUUAAUAGCAUCUUUGCUUGACUAAGGCUCCGGAGGAAGCCACGGCUAACUCUGUGCCAGCAGCCGCGGUAAUACAGAGGCGGCAAGCGUUGUUCGGAAUUAUUGGGCGUAAAGAGCACGUAGGCGGCUAUGUAAGUCGGUUGUGAAAGCCUUCCGCUCAACGGGAGAACAGCAUCCGAUACUGCAUGGCUUGAGUGCGGGAGGGGAGAGUGGAACUUCUGGUGGAGCGGUGAAAUGCGUAGAUAUCAGAAGGAACGCCGGCGGCGAAAGCGGCUCUCUGGCCCAUAACUGACGCUGAGUGUGCGAAAGCUAGGGGAGCAAACGGGAUUAAAUACCCCGGUAGUCCUAGCCGUAAACGAUGGGCACUAAGUAGAGGGGUUUUAAUCUC
rnacentral:rRNA from 1 species